rnacentral:lncRNA from 1 species
GGAAAACUGGAAGGCAGAGCCAGCACUGAGUCUACAGAACCAGGGAAGAGCCAUCACAGGUGGGCAGCUGACACUCGGAUAUUCCAAAACUGUGGGGAGAGGAUUCCAUGUGAAGCGUGUGCACAUUUGAAAGAACUUGGUGAAAAAAGACAGCAGUCCACACUGGCUCCAUUUUUUCUGCAAGAGGGUCUGCUUAAAGGAGAGAUGGAAAUGCCAUUGUGACUGGGCUAAGCUGCUGCCCAGGCCAAACGGGCUGCAGGGGAGUGGAGAUGCUGAGGAGCUGAAUGACCCCACCAGCACACGCAAAGCUGGAGCAGCAUCCUGCACCCUCCUUUGCUCAUCCCUCCUCUUCAAAGAUAAACUCUGCUGGCGGCGACAGGUACAGUGAAUACUGCCCCAGCCCAGAGUGAGCAGCCCUGUGGCUCCACCCAGUUGCCUGUGGAGACCCCUCCCACACCCGCCAGCCUCACCUACGGGUGAAUCCCAGCAUGGCACUGUUCCUGGCGUGUUUGCUCAGCUCGGGCUCAGACAGCAGGCUCCAGCAGCUGCACAGGCCAACUUCUGGCUGCAUGGGGCUUUGUCCCCAGCACCACCCUUCACUGUGUUGCACCUGCCGUGGGAUGACGCAGGGGUGCCCCACAGAGAGCCUUUUCUGUUCAUGCACCUGGGAGGGGUGGGCAGACCCUGGAGCAGACCCACGGGCACAGGGUAAGGGCCUGGCUCCCCUCAAGGAGCCAGCCAGACUGGCGAGCCAUGGACACUGCUGGAAGGGAGGGUCCCGUAGCUCAGCUCUUGCCAGCAUGGGUUCCUUGGUUUUUUUCACCUCCAAUGGUGGGAGGUGCUACCUUAUUGUGGUUCUUAUGUGGAUCUCCCUGAUGGUGGGCAAGGGUCGGCCCCUUUUCACAGGUUCAUUAGUGGCUAGAGAAGGUCAUCAGAAAACCCCGCUCAGGUUUGGUCCUCCUUUCCAUAUUGAUCUGCAGUUCUUUGUCUCUUCUUCACAGGAGCCUUUCAUCACAUGCAGCAGAGAUCUCUCUUCCCAUGGUGUAUUUUGAUGAGUAGAGUUAUAAAUUUUAAUAUCUCCCAGUUCUCUAUGGUUACGCUUUCUGGGACCUCUUGGCAACAAAGACAUUUUCUAGUGUUGUGGUCCUUGUGAGCCUUUUAAUUUUAUCUUCCCAUUUGAUCUUCUGUCCACUGAAAUUGCCUCUGUGCAUAACAAAAGUCGAGAUUACCAUAUUUUGUGCUGGGCGGGUGGUGUGUCCCUGUGGUCCCAGCUACCCAGAGGCUGAGGAAGGAGGAUGGCUUGAUCCCAGGAGGUAAGGCCAUCCUGGGUAUGACCCCCUCCAAAGAAAAGGAAG